rnacentral:lncRNA from 1 species
CUGUUUUUGAACCGGCCGCUGCCCCAUCUCACCUGCCACCAUCUCUGCGGAAGGCUCUUCCGCUUAAAGGAAAAAGCGUGCCUGUGGCUGAGGGCCCCACGAUCGCCCGGCGAGGGAGUUUGCUGUGCGGCAUCUCAGACUGUCAGAGAAAAUCAGGUGGAGCUGGAGGGGGCAGUCAUGCCACGAAGGGACCACCAGGGAGGACACUUUGCUCCCCAUUCCAGGAGGGUUCUUUAGCCCUGGGCUUUCUUGUAAGCCACGCAGAGUCCAUUCAGACCCCCCAUUUUCCCUCCACUCUGUCAGCAAACAUUAGGGUGUUCACACGGUGGCCCGACCCAACACGGGGCCCUGGCGUGACUUCCAGCUGUCCCCUGCCCCAGGGGCUCACGGCCUGCUGGGUGCUGGACCUUGGGACCAGUCCCGGGUCGGAACGACACCCGGCAUCUCAGGGGGCUGUAAGUUAAGCCCGUUCUUACCCAACAAGAUGCUUCCAGAAGCAGAUGAACCGGUGGUUUCACAGUUCUUUUACGUAUAAACGAUGUCUCCUGAGCAAAGACAAGUGUGCACGCCCAGUAAUCCUGCAUCAUCCUUCACCCCUCCUGCCCCUGGGCCGGCUGGGAUUCUGGGGCCAGGCCAAGGGGCCCGCAGCACCAGGGCCAGGCGCACGGGGGGCCCUAAUUAGGGGAUUACACAAAGCCUGUGAGCCAGGCCACCGCAGGCCCCAACCCUGCGUCGGGACAGACUUAAUGGCCUGGGCUGGAGUCACCAGCAACAUAAAGUAGUCUUGUUCCCCGGUGAUUUUUACAAGGCGUUUAUGGACACGAGACAACUUCAGGACAGCACUCAGCUUAUGGGGCCGGGGGCCCAGACAAUGGGGGCAAAGAGGCAGGUCAACACAAGGACCCUGUGAUGAAGGCACAAAGGCGGGCAGAAUGAGGGGCAUUCACCCCCUGUGCAGGGACCGGGGCCCUCCCCCACCUGCUUACGUGCCUGAAGCCGGCUGAGCCCUGAGAGGGACCUUCCCCUCCACAGAUGGGGGCAGGGCCUCUGAGUUGCUGCCCCCCAACAGUGCCAAGGACCCUGUAAGUAUCUUCAGCUCCCACUGACCACCCUGUUUUGAGCAGUUCCCCUGCUUCAUAGUCAUUAAUUUGCCGUCCCAUCCUUGCUAUUCAAAGACGGCCGUAGCCAGGGUCGAGUGUGCGGGAGCUAGGCCCUUAUGUGAUGUGAUUCCAGCCCAAAGCAGAGAUGGCUGGCGCUUUGGUUCCACGGUCUCCAGUACCGGGGAGCUCUCCACAUUUUGCUUGUGAACAGCCACCGGUUACUGAGGACUUAACAUGUGUGAGACCCCCACGGCGGGGGCUUUGCAGGAAUGAUCUCAUGCAGGCCUCACGGCACCUUGGGAAGCAAGCUUCCGACCUCUUGUCACAGGUAAGGAAUCGGGUUCACAACAGCCCAAGAACACCUACCGGUAGGUGAUGGGCCCAGGACUCCAACGUGGAUCUGCAAAGGGUCAGGCUGGGCUCCUUCCACCCCCACGUUCACGGUCACCGCUCCUGAGAGGCAAGGGAGGCGCAAACAUCGGGAAGGAGAAGCCAGUUCCACCUGGCACAGUCAGAGAGGGCUUCCUGGAGGUGGCGACAUCUACAUCAGGCCUGGAAGGAUGAGUAGGGUUGCCUAAGAGAGAGAAACAAAGAGAAAACGGAGCGUGUGUAGGAGCCUGAGCCCCCCGGGCAGGAACCGAAGUAUCCUGCGACCACAGUGCACAGACCUGGAGCCUCUGAGAUUCGGGGUCCUGCCCCAUUGUCAUCAGUAACAGUAACAGCUACCGCGUAGGCAACACGAUAAAGCAUUGUUUUUAUGGCAUUAUAUUUUAUCGUCACAAAUACCCUUUGAGACAAGAGCUGUCCUUCUCCCCAGGAGACGGAGCUGUAGCGAGGCUGAGGAACCUGCCGGCUGUGCGGUCUCGGGCGGGGGCGGAGGCAGGUCUAGAACGUGGGUGGCACCACAGGCCGCGUCCACGCGCUCAGCCAACCCGCCGAGAGGCCGCCAACUGGGCCAGUUUGGGCGAGCGGGCAGAAACGGGUUGGAUUUGGAAGCCCUGGUUCCACUCUCUACACUCUGACGCUCACUACUCAACCCCGGGCAAGUGAAUUCGCCUCUGGGAGUCACCGUGAAAGCCCCCCCCUUCCUCCGCAGCCCCUCUCCUCCUGCCUCACAGGGUGGUGGGCAGAAUCGGAGAAGCCAGGCAGGUGCUUUGCUGGCUGUGGUUGGCCGAAUGAUGGCCCCAAAGCUGUCCAAUCCUAGUCCCCAGAAGUGCGACUAUGCCACUUUGCAUGGUAGAAGGGACUUUACAGAUGCAAUUAGGAAGGACGUAAAGACACGAGUCUAUCCUGGAUCACCUGGCAGGCCCAGUGGAGUCACAAAAGCCCUUGGAAGACAGAGGCAGCAGGCCCGAGUCAGAGAAGUGAUGACAGAAGCAGAGGUCACUGCCGGGCUUUGCAAACAGAGGAAGGGUCCGCCGUGCAAGGAAUAGAGGAGGCCUUGAGAUACUGGAACAGGCAAGGAAUAGGCUUCUGCCCUGGAGCCCCCAGCAGGACCUGCACCUUGACCUUAGCCCUAUGAGACUGAUUUUGGACUUCCGACCUCCAGACCUGUAAGAUAAUAAAUCUGUGUUGUGUUAAGCUACCGCUUAGUUA